rnacentral:ncRNA from 1 species
AGCAUUUAUGGUGCCGGGAAACCGGAUAAUAGGGAAAGCGUAUGCCGCUGCAGCCCACCGCUGCCGUGUGACGGAGCGCUUGCGCAGGUCAGCCACUGGUGAAAACCGGGAAGGCGCGCAAGCUGCGAUGAAGUCAAGCCGGAAGACCUGCCAUGAAUC